UUUCACGACGAUGAUGAUAAAUGUGAUCCCAGCUCAUUAUGAGACCUUCACCAUUUGAUUGGUUUAGGAAUUCAAUUUGUUUCCACAUUUCUCUUAGCCUUAGA